GAUUGCAUCUUUUGUUUUCAUCAACGAACUCCGAAUAGUGAACCCCAAGAAGGUUAAGAAAACUAUACCAUUUUGUCAACAAAAGAAAAGGUAACUUGACCAAGUUAAAGUUAAGAUAGCUUUACUAUGAUGAAUGAACGUAUUAAAGAAAGACGCAAAGCACAAGGGUUAACUCAACCCGCGCUUGGCAAAAUGAUUGGCGUUACAAAAGCCACGAUUUCGCUUUGGGAAGCAGGUACAACCUCGCCCAAGGGCGAGAACCUUUACGCGUUGGCUAAAUCGUUGAAUUGCUCUUCCGAGUGGCUUUUGUAUGGUGAAGAAAAGCAGAGUAAACCAGAAUCAAACGCCGAAUUUAUUGGCGGUUUUGAAACUUGGGGAAGAGAAAGCCCAUUAGGUGACGAUGAGGUAGAGGUACCGUUUUACAUGGAAGUAGAGCUAGCUGCCGGUGCAGGUAUAACAGAUAUUCGUGAAUAUACAGGUCCGAAACUGCGCUUUGCAAAAUCCACUUUAAAGCGACAAGGCGUUAGCGCGUCCGAUGCAGUGUGUGUCAAAGUGAACGGCAACAGCAUGGAGCCAGUAUUACCAAAUGGCUCAACCGUUGGUGUAGAUACCUCACACACUGAGAUUGUUGAUGGAAAAAUGUACGCCAUUAAUCACGAUGGUAUGCUGCGUGUAAAAAUGCUCUACAAGUUACCAGGUGGCGGCAUUCGACUACGCAGCUAUAACCAAGAUGAAUGGCCAGAUGAACAUUUAAGUUUUGAACAGAUAAAACAAAUUAAAAUCAUCGGUAAAGUGUUUUGGUAUUCAGUUUUAAUUUAAUACAUUAUAGCCGUCUAAGUUUUUUCUCCAAAUAAUAAACGAAAACACCUAUAUAUUCUUUAAAUUUACCAUCUUCAUCAAGCUGUCUAUAUGAAUCUAAAAUUCUUUGAAUUUCGGAUUUAGUUCUUUUAUGAGGUUUUGAAUCUAGUUGUUUUUUUAACCCACUUAAUGCCGCUGCACGAUUCCUUUUAAGGCGAGAUUCAUUUAAAUUUAGAACAUUAUUAAGCUGAACAUCGAAAUCAGCAUCGCUAGAUGAAAUUACUCCAUAAUCAUUGUAAUAUAUCAAUAGCUUGAUAUUAUCAUUUGGAUUUGCGGGUGAAAACUUUAAUGAUUGAUUUCCUUUUUUUGUAUCGCAAGUUUGAAAUUUUUGUGGCUCCCCUUCAUUACCACUACAACAACCCAGCAUAUUCUUAUAAUCUAAUUGUCUAUCGGCGAAUUGACUCUGGCAUUCCCAAUGUUCAAUUUUCAUAUUUCCAGCAGAUAUUCGUCGCAUGCAAUAAGCACAAAUAAACCCUUGCUCAUUCAAUAAUGUAUCUCUGAUAUUAUUUUUGACUUCUGUAAAAUUAGGGCCAUCAUAUUCUGCUCCAUUACUUAAUUUGUAUUGAGUCAGAAUACUGGGAGCUGGUAACUUAGAUAUAACAAUCAUUAUCAAAGCUCCAGAAAUUCUAUUUUAGUCUUAGCCUCAAUCAGUUCAGGUAUUUCACCAAAAAGCAUUUUUUCAAGUUUUUCAAUUUCUAGUUUAGCCUUAAAAAUUGAAUCGUCAGUCUCUUGUUCAAUUAAAUUAAAAAUUUCAUUAAGUGAUUCUUCUACCAAAGCAUUCCUACUCAACUGAUUAAGAUUACUAUCAGUUAUCAUAAGUUCAUUUAAUAUAUCAUUAGAGGUUAGACCUAGUGAUUGUGUAGGCUGUCUAAAUUUUAGUACAUUAUUUUCAUUAUAAAAAUAAAUAUUUGAGAUGGUUUAGCCUCACCCAAAACCAAAGGGGAAUGAGUAGUAAGGAAAAAUUGGCAAUUAGGGAAAACUGUGGGCAAUUUAUUUACGAUUUCACGUUGCCAUUUAGGAUGUAAAUGUAAAUCAAAUUCAUCAAUAAGAACAAUGCCUUGCCCAUGCAAUGGAUUACUGAGCGACGGAUUUAACAUAAAUAAACGCAUGGUUAUAUCAAGGAUUAAAGAUAACAAAGCCUUUUCACCUUGUGACAACUUCAACACACUAAUUUUUCUUUCGUUUUUAGUUAAAAAUAAAUCAAACCUAGGCUCCAUUUCUAACUCUAAGUUACCAUAACCAUCCAUAAACUCUUCAAUAACCAAAUUAAUUGACUUUUUUAUUAACUUAAUAUUAUCUUUGUUUAAACUGGAUAAUUCAUUUACUUCAGAUAACUUUUCCUUUAACGCAAGCGAUUUAAUUAACUCAUUGAGUUUCUGAGCAGAACUCGGGUCAUUAUCAAUAAGGUUUUCAAUCUCAGCUAAUAACUUAUUUGCUAUCUUGAAAUCUUGAUCUAUAGAUGAUAGUUGACGCCUAGUUUCAAUAUCAUCAAUGGUUUUAAACCACUCAACAAAACUGCUAAAAUCCACUUUACCAUUAAGUGAAUUAUUAUAACCUUUGAAUUUAUCAAGGCUAUCAUUAGCCAACCCUAAUGCUGAUAUAUUCAUAUCUUUCUGAGAAACAUCAUAUGAACGAAGAGCAUUAUAAAAAGCAAACAAUGGUAAAUUCAAUUCUGAAUUUAUCUCAUUUGAAAUUUUAUAAAAACUACCUAUUCUUCUUACUUCAUAUAAAUAACUACGUUUUUUUUGAAUACCAUCCCUUGCUUGAGAUAACUCCAUUUUACAUUUUAUAUUUUUAUUAAUACGAAUUGUUGUUAUUAUAUUAGCAAAAGGAAGAUCCGUAUAUAUAUUGAUAUCUGAAUCAUCUAUUGAUGUUCCAGUACCACCACUUUUACUAAUCGAAUUAACAAACCAACUUAGCGACAUCGAUAUAGCAUCUAAAAUAGUUGUUUUUCCAGCUCCAUUCGCACCCACAAAUAUAUUUAAAUUAUCAUCGAACUUUGUGAUUCGUAUAUCAUUAAACAAUUU
rnacentral:rRNA from 1 species